rnacentral:lncRNA from 1 species
UGAAAGUUUUUUUUAUUUUUUUGUCUUUUUUUUUUUUAUUUUUUAUGGAGGUUGGUUGUAGGUUAAGCAUAUAUUUUUCUCUAUUCAGAAAGUUUAGAGCUGGAGCCAUAUUUGCCUGUUUGUGUUACCGAAAGUGAAGUUUAAGUUAAAGUAGGCUUACGACUAAACAAAAGUCGCGAUAAAAAUUAUUUUUCUUUCGUCAUUUGUUUGUAUAUAUAGCCGUGGAGUUGAAAUUUUUUUUACAUCUAUUAUUUGUUUGGUCGAAAAUAAACGGUAUAAAAGUUGGAAGUAUGUAAUUUUUUUAUUUUUUAUUUUUUCGUCAUUGACUUUAGACUGAGUGGACCGAAAUCAAUUACACUAUUUUGAAAAUU